AACGAACGUUGGCGGCAGGCCUAACACAUGCAAGUCGAGCGCUCUCUUCGGAGGGAGCGGCGGACGGGUUAGUAACGCGUGGGAACGUACCCAGAUCUAAGGAAUAGCCACUGGAAACGAUGAGUAAUACCUUAUACGCCCUUCGGGGAAAGGAUUUAUCGGAUUUGGAUCGGCCCGCGUUAGAUUAGAUAGUUGGUGGGGUAAUGGCCUACCAAGUCUACGAUCUAUAGCUGGUUUUAGAGGAUGAUCAGCAACACUGGGACUGAGACACGGCCCAGACUCCUACGGGAGGCAGCAGUGGGGAAUCUUGGACAAUGGGCGCAAGCCUGAUCCAGCCAUGCCGCGUGAGUGAUGAAGGCCUUAGGGUCGUAAAGCUCUUUCGCCUGUGAAGAUAAUGACUGUAGCAGGUAAAGAAACCCCGGCUAACUCCGUGCCAGCAGCCGCGUAA
rnacentral:rRNA from 1 species